UACGGAGGGUGCAAGCGUUAUCCGGAUUCACUGGGUUUAAAGGGCGCGUAGGCGGCGUGACAAGUCACUUGUGAAAUCUCCGGGCUUAACCCGGAGCGGCCAAGUGAUACUGUCGUGCUAGAGUGCGGAAGGGGCUACUGGAAUUCUCGGUGUAGCGGUGAAAUGCGUAGAUAUCGAGAGGAACACCUGCGGCGAAGGCGGGUAGCUGGGCCGACACUGACGCUGAGGCGCGAAAGCCAGGGGAGCGAACGGG
rnacentral:rRNA from 1 species